AGUGAACGCUGGCUGUAGGCCUAACACAUGCAAGUCGAACGGCAGCACAGUAAGAGCUUGCUCUUACGGGUGGCGAGUGGCGGACGGGUGAGGAAUACAUCGGAAUCUACUUUUUCGUGGGGGAUAACGUAGGGAAACUCACGCUAAUACCGCAUACGACCUACGGGUGAAAGCAGGGGAUCUUCGGACCUUGCGCGAUUGAAUGAGCCGAUGUCGGAUUAGCUAGUUGGCGGGGUAAAGGCCCACCAAGGCGACGAUCCGUAGCUGGUCGGAGAGAAUGAUAGGGCACACUAGAACUGAGACAAGGUCCAGACUCCUACGGGCGACAGCAGUGGGGAAUAUUGCACGAUGAGCGCAAGCCUGAUCAAGCCAUACCGCGUGGGUGAAGCAGCCCUUCGGGUUGUAAAGCCCUUUUGUUGGGAGAGAAAAGCAGCAGGUUAAUACCCCGCUAUUCUGACGGUACCCAAAGAAUAAGCACCGGCUAACUUCGUG
rnacentral:rRNA from 1 species